AUUGAACGCUGGCGGCAGGCCUAACCCAUGCAAGUCGAGCGAGCGGCGGACGGGUGAGUAAUGUCUGGGAAACUGCCUGAUGGAGGGGGUUAACUACUGGAAACGGUAGCUAAUACCGCAUACCAUCAGAUGUGCCCAGAUGGGAUUAGCGAGUAGGUGGGGUAAUGGCUCACCUAGGCGACGAUCCCUAGCUGGUCUGAGAGGAUGACCAGCCACACUGGAACUGAGACACGGUCCAGACUCCUACGGGAGGCAGCAGUGGGGAAUAUUGCAAAAUGGGCGCAAGCCUGAUGGAGCCAUGACGCGUGUAUGAAGAAGGCCGUCGGGUUGUAAAGUACUUUCAGCGAGGAGGCGUUACUCGCAGAAGAAGCACCGGCUAACUCCGUGCCAGCAGCCGCGGUAAUAC
rnacentral:rRNA from 1 species